UGAAGAGGGAAACACAAAGAGGUUGUGCAGCUUCAAGGCUCCCUGGAUGGUCAAUGGCGGGGCCAGGAUUCACAUCCCGAAAGUAAUCCAGCUGACAGGUGGGAAGCACGGAGGCAGUCACGACCAUGUUCCCUUCAAAGUCCAUUGCAGCGUUGCAUCCUCGGGUCGUGAACACUCCGGCUUCUGAGCGCACAGAACAGAUCAGACCAGCCCUGCGGAAGCUGUUGUGAGCAUGUGAAUCACCUGGAGAUGUUGCUACAAAUGCAUAUUUUGGGGCGCCUGGGGAGCUCAGUCGGUUAAGCUUCUGACUUUGGUUCA